rnacentral:rRNA from 1 species
GACAGAGGGUGCAAACGUUGCUCGGAAUUACUGGGCGUAAAGCGCGUGUAGGCGGACCAACAAGUCAGGCGUGAAAUCCCUGGGCUCAACCCAGGAACUGCACCUGAAACUGUUGGUCUGGAGUGGUGGAGAGGGAAGCAGAAUUCCUGGUGUAGAGGUGAAAUUCGUAGAUAUCAGGAGGAACACCGGUGGCGAAGGCGGCUUCCUGGACACUAACUGACGCUGAGACGCGAAAGCGUGGGGAGCAAACAGG